rnacentral:lncRNA from 1 species
GAAAUAUAUUUCUUUAUUUUGUUAUGGCUCUAGGCUUGUUGAAAGAAUGCAGAAAGAAAAAUAUUACUCAUAAAAAGACAUUUUUAUGUGAAAGUCUUUCAAAAUCUCAGGGAUGAAUAAGAAACUUUUAUGAUAUUUUUUGCUUACUUUUUACUUAAAACUUAGUGCAUGAAGGAUUUUGAAAAGGUCACUAAAAGUCAUUAACAUUUUCAAUAACACGUGAAGUUUUAAGACUUCUGAAAAAGUGUUGAUUUAGUCCCCGUUUGACUCUCAUAUCUUAAAAAUGAGUUUUUUUAAAUUUAUUUUUAAUUAUGCAUUCUUCUCAUAAAAUAAUUUUACUCAUAUACCAACAAUUUUUCUCUAUUUUUAACCUUAUAUUCUCCAAAAAAAAAAUAUUAUUAUAAAUAUAAUUCUCCAACAAAUUGGACUCAAACAAAAUCUUAAUAUUUAUUAAUGACUUUAUAGAACUUUUAAAAAAUCUAUAAAAAAUUACAUUGAAUCCUCUAAAACUUAUAUGAAGUCAUAAAAAGUUUAGUUCGAAUACACUUAAACAUUCUAAGUCUCUAUAAUCUUUAGAAAUCUAGAAUGAUUGCAUCCCCUUAAAGGUUUCGUAUAGAGACCUUUUUUACAUUCCAUGUACAUUUUUCAAUACAAAAAGUGAUAAUAGUGCACCGUGGCAAACAACCAGAAUUUACAAAUAUAAAGAACACUGUAGGUCUAGAAUCGAGUUAAAAUCAAAAUUUCUCAAACACGGAACACGAAAAUAAGGAACACGAGAUUUUUCGACCAAAGGCUUCGGAGAUUCAGUGACGGCUUCUAACGCUUAGUCCCCCAUUGAACAUCCAUAAAGGAUUAAACUCGAAUUCACUAUACCAGCCAAAAUAGGCAAAAAUAAAGUUACAGAACAUAGAGUUUUCAAACCACGAAUACAACACAAUCUUCCCACAGAGCAAACUCACACGAGAGUUUCUCUACAAUUUUCUCUCGAAACAACACAAAGUAUUUUCAGAGAAAAUACAAGAUCAAAUAGAGAAGACGAAAGGCACACAGCCAAGAAAACCCUCAAAAUGUUACCAACCGUAACCCUAAAGUCUCAAGACCCGUAUUUAUAUGAGAGUGAAAGAUCCAACUGUAUAAAUCUUGCCACUUGUCAUCAAUCCAACGGGACUGCCUUUUAAACUUAAGACUUGUUUGUUGAAAACAUGAUUUUAACAAUUCUAGAUUCUUCCAUUUGCGGGCAAUCAAGCUAGACCAUUUAUUUGGGCUUAAAAUAAACCAGCUUUGAGAUAAUUGGGCUGGACUCAAAAAAUUCAACAAUCCAACACUUACAAUCUCCAUCUUUGUUGUAUUUUGUGCUUGCACUUAUGUAGAUUCCAACUUAAUCUCUUACUUCAUUUGCUCUUAUUACUUGUUUACAAAAGAAGAAAAAUUUGCAAGUUUCGAGAUUCAACAAUCUCAAACAAUCUAAGAACUUACUAAGUAGUAUUACCAUUGUCCCAGCAUCAGUGGGAUUUACCUUGGUAGGUAUUUUUACCAAUUUAAUAUCAUCCCUAUCGACUAUAUCUCUAAUAAAAUGAAACUUAACAUCAAUUUGCUUGAUCUAUCAAGAAAAAUUGGGUUUUUACUUAAGAAAAUGGCACUUUGAUUAUCAGAACAUAACUCCACCUGAUUUUCUAUAAGACCUAAUUCAUUUAACAAACCUUUCAUUCAUAGUCCCUCUUUUUUAGCUUCAGUGGCAGCAAUGUAUCUUGCCUCAGCAUGGGAUAAAGCAACUAACUUUUGAAGUUGAGAUUUCCAGCUAAUGCAUGCAUUGUUUAUGACAUAAAAAUAUGCAGAAGUGGAUUUCCUACUAUCCAGAUUUCCAGCAAAGUCAAAAUCAAUAUAGCCUUUAAGUUUAAAACAAUCUUUACUUGUUUUAAACAUGAGUCCUAAAUUACAUGUACCUUUCAAGUAUCUAAUCAGGUUUUUCAUGCAUUCCCAAUGAGACUCACUUGGAUUACUCAUGAAUCUACUUACUACACUUACAGCAUAAGCUAUAUCAGGUCUUGAACACACCAUUACAUACAUUACAAACCCAACAACAUUAGCAUAUGGCACAUUCAACAUCCUUUUAAGUUCCUCUUCUGUUUUAAGUAAUUGAUCAACAAAUAAUUUCAUGCAAGCAGACAAAGGUAAGCUAACAGAUUUAGCAUUUUCAAGAAAAAAUCUUUUUACCGCUUUUCCAAUGUAAGAUUUCUGAGUUAAGAACAAUUUUCCAUUAAUUCUGAAUAUUAUUAUUUCCAUGCCCAAAAUCUUCCUAAUAGGGCUUAAAUCCUUCAUUUUAAAUUCUAAUUUCAACUUUUAUUUUAUGGAAUUAAGUAUAACAGAAUUAUAACCAGCCAACAACAUAUCAUCAACAUACAAAAGAAGGUAAAAGAAUUCAGAAUCACUAUUCUUUUAAAAGUAAAAAUAAGGAUCAAAAUAUGAUUUCUUAAACUCUAGGCCUUGUAUAAAAGAAUCAAACCUCUUAUACCAUUACCUAAGAGCCUAUUUUAGAUAGUGAUUUUUUUAGCAAACACACCAAGUUUUCUUUAUUCUUUACCUCAAAACCUUUAGACCAUCUCAUGUAAAUGGUUUCAUCUAUGGAUCCAUACAAGAGUGCAGUCUUCACAUCAAGUUGUUCCAAUUCUAGAUCAAACUGAGUCACAAUGGCAAGUAGAAUUCUAAUAGAAGUAUAUUUCACUACAUGUGAGAAAAUUCCAGUGUAGCCUAUCCCUUCUCUUUGUGUGAAAUCUUUUGCUACAAGCGUUGCCUUAUAUCUUUUAUUGGUUAUUUUUGUAUCCCUAUCUUUAAUCUUAUACAUCCAUUUACAAUCAAUUAGCUUACAUUCUUUAGGUUUCUCAAUCAAAUUUGAGGUUUUAUUUUUGUACAGAGAAUUCAUUUCAUCUUCCAUAGCCUCAAUCCAUUUGGAAGAUUUCUUACAAGAAACAGCUUUCUUAUAAGAGGUGGGUUCAAGAUCAGAGGGUUCAAACUCAGUUUGAGCAUACACAUAGUCUGCGUAUUGGUAUUUGGAAGGAGGUCUUGUUUCCCUCCUUUCCCUGUCCAUAGCAAGCUGGUAAUUUUGCAACUCAUGUGCAGGACUUAAUUCUUGAUUACCAUUCGGAACUUCAACAUCUGGAUUGUUGUGAAGUUCCAUUUGAGGCUGCUCCACCUUAAACUGAGCAUGCUCAACUGUAUUUUCCUUGUUUAGUUCAAUUUUAGUGAUAAUAAAGUUAUCAUCCCUUAUCUUUUCAUUGGUCUUGUCACUAAGGCAUGGAAAGUAAUCCUCAUUUAAGAUCAUAGACCUACUUAUUAUCACCUUAUAGCGUCUAGUAUCCCUUAACCAAAGUCUAUAGCCUUCAACUCCUUCUCCAUAUCCUAAGAAGACAUACUUUUGUAACUUAGGAUCCAAUUUUGAGUCAUUAUAAUGUGCAUAUGUAGCACACCCAAAAUUCGUGAGAUAGAUGUAAUCAUAUAUAAAAACAAAUCAGAUCUGUUCAGGGAGUUUUGUUGUUUAAUGAACUAGAAUGACAUCUAUUUAGUAAGUAACACGUUGUUUUUACUGUUUCUCUCCCAAAUAAUAUAGGCACUCCAGAACUAAACAACAUGCAUCUUGUCCUCUCAAGAAUAGUUCUAUUUAAUCUCUCGACAACUCCAUUUUUCUGAGGUAAGUGGGUGAC